CAGUCAAGGACAACCUCUGCAAGCCCAUGAGCUCAGCUGUAUGCAAAUAGAAGAAACAAGAGACGGGAUGGUUUUUCUGGGAUCUGGCCAUAUUAGGAAUCAGAACCGUCAUAGUUUGAGAUCCUGUAGAUUUUCACUAUCCAUAA